UCAGCAUUUGAUACACACAUAAUGGGCUUUUGAGUUUCAGAUGUUUCCAACAGCACAACUGUUAGAAACUUUUAUAAGUCAUAUAAUGAGAGACUGUUUUAAUUUAGUAUGUGGGAGGUGGGGUAUGCACAGGUGCUACAAUGCUUAUGUAGAUGUCAAAAGUCAGCUUACAGGAGUUGGUUCUCUCUUUCCACCACAUGGGUCCUGGGGAUUCAACUCAGGUUGUCAAGGUGGGCAGCAAGCACAUUUUCCUGAUGAGCCAUCUCGUCAGCCCCGAUGAGAGAUGUUUUGAACACCAUCUGCUAAAACACCUAGAAAUAGAAAAUCAGUAGUUUACUCAUAAAACUGACUUUUAAAUAAAACAUGCUUAUCAAACACUAUCCUAACAAUUAUAAUUGUGUCAAACUUUCAUUUGAUAGACUAUAUCAUCUAUUUCACACCAGAGAAAUAAGAGAAGAUUCUAAUUUAGCAGGAAGACCAAAAAUUGCUGUUGCUAGAUCAGUAGAUUAAAAACUGGUGAAUAAUAAACUGAGAAUCAAACAGGAAGCAGGUUAUUAGUAGAUUCAGUUUUGUAGAGUAUUGUAGAAUACAAAACAUUGUUCUGAGAGUUAAAAUCCCAUGAGGUUUUCAUUGGAAUAAUUCUGUCUUCGCUUAAGUAAAAGUAAUUCAAUGCAAAUUUGAAUUUGUUCUGUAAGAAAGACCAAAGUGUUAUUGCUGGGUUGAAGCAUUUUAGUGGUAUUGUUAUGAACAAAAAUACUCUCUGUAUGUUGAAUAAAAUGGAAAUAAUUUCUAAGAUUUGUCUUUCAUCUUCAGUUAUAAAAUCAGUCUAAGAAGUAAUUAUAUCAGGGAGGUGAAGAGAUGACUCAGCGAUUAAGAGCACUGGCUGUCCUUGCAGAAGACCCAGACCCAUGGUGAAGCAGAACAUCAUGGUGAUAGGAACCUCAUGGUGGGCAGGAAGCAGAGGAAGAGGCGAUAAGGGACAAGAUGCAACCCCAAGGAGGAGAAGAAUGGGGUAUGUCUUCAGAAAUUGCCCCCUGGGACUUUUAUGGAGCAUUCAAUCUUUAAAGGAAUACCCUGGGCCAUUCCAGUGGAGGGUUGAAUGAAGACAAGUCAUUGGACAAUGAUCUGGACAAAGAACUCCAGGACAAGCGUUAUUAUACCCUGCAGGACAGCAGCGUCAAGACACAAUUAACCAUAUGGAAGAAUUCUCAGGAACCAUCGACUGCUGAGGCAUGUUCUGUACCUUGGGCACCCCACACUGCUGCUCUGGAACCUGGUCAUCCAGAGACCCUCAUGGUUCUUUUGGGUUAAUGUCAGUGGAAUACUGACAGAGUUUAUGGGACAUAUUGUAAAUCUUCUAUAUUCCCAGUACAUUUCAAUAAAUUAAAUAUUU